UGGGGAAUUUUGGACAAUGGGCGCAAGCCUGAUCCAGCAAUGCCGCGUGCAGGAUGAAGGCCUUCGGGUUGUAAACUGCUUUUGUACGGAACGAAACGGCUCUGGUUAAUACCUGGGGCUAAUGACGGUACCGUAAGAAUAAGCACCGGCUAACUACGUGCCAGCAGCCGCGGUAAUACGUAGGGUGCGAGCGUUAAUCGGAAUUACUUGGCGUAUAGCGUGCGCAGGCGGUGAUGUAAGACAGAUGCGAAAUCCCCGGGCUCAACCUGGGACCUGCAUUUGUGACUGCAUCGCUGGAGUGCGGCAGAGGGGGAUGGAAUUCCGCGUGUAGCAGUGAAAUGCGUAGAUAUGCGGAGGAACACCGAUGGCGAAGGCAAUCCCCUGGGCCUGCACUGACGCUCAUGCACGAAAGCGUGGGGAGCAAACA
rnacentral:rRNA from 1 species